AAAUUAAAAAAGAAACAAACUCUUCGUAAACAAAUCGAAAGAAAUGAAAAAAAAAAAAAAAAAAGAAAAAUUAAAAGCAGCAACAAAUUUCAAUAGCAUUUGCAUAAUUUGGCCAGUUUAAAUGGGGUUUUUUUUUUGGUGCCUCUGCGUGUUGGCUUAAUUAAUUGGCUUUUUGUGUGGCUCAACUAUUUACUGAAUAUUGAAUAUGGAAUAUGGAAUACUGGACAGAAUGCCCCAUGGCAUUCGCUGGAAUGCCAGCUGCUGAGCCGGCAGCCCAUAAAUAUUUAACACAUUGGCUCUGUCUUUAAUCGUAGAACCGUGUCAAAGCAUUUAAAAUCAAUUUGGGAACGCAAUUAAAACACGUGUUAAACUUUAACUGGAAAUAAAUACUAUCUAAAUGA